CCGGCUGUGCUUCCUGCGGCCCCAGCCCGGCUCUGAUUACCCUGCGCCGCAAUCUAUCUGUUUACCCGGAACCCUGCCUGGCGCCCACUCCGAGGUGGGGACCGUGUCUUCCCCACCUCUGAGUUCCCCGCUCCUACUCCCCACCUGGCACCGAGCAGGCGCCCCAGUAAUGACGGUCAGACGCCCUGGCUGCUGAAGAAGAAGAAGAAAAAGAAAAGGCAAAAUGGUCAAGGCCAAGAUAGCUUGAACUGAACAUCAUCAAAAGCAUUUACUAAGCAUGCGGGGGAAAUGGAAAUGAAGGGUCGUGCUCUGUGAGGUCGUCUUCCCUAGUGAGGGCCAAACCCAAUCAAACCUGUCUUUGGAAGGCCAUGAAUCACCAUAGCCUGACAUACAAGGAUUCGUUCAAGCACAGCUGAGGGGACAAGGAUCCCGGCCGGCCAGAAUGGCAGAGUGAAAGGAGAGAAGCCGGCUGAGGUCUGGUUCUACCCCUUUCCCUGGGCAAAUUACUUAAAAGUCUCAGAAUCUCAGUGUCCUUGUUAGAGAAGGAAGGAUUAGAACCACCGCCGGGGUUAUUUGAGAGGAUGAAAUGAGACAUACAGGGGUGCCUGGGGGCUGUGACUUCGAGAGCUAUCUCGGGGCUGUGACUUCGAGCCUCACACUGCGUGCAGAGAUUACUUGAAAAGAAAAGUUCUUAGUAAAUUACUAGGCAUGUAGAAGGGUCACAGGCCAGGAGCAGGGACACUGGAGGAGUGGAGACACUGAAACAAAGUAGGAGAACGAGCCCAGGGGACAGAGUGGUUCACAGUGUCCUUCACCGUGGGAAGGAAGCAUCUGGGCAGACCCGGCUCACAGGGACAGGAGGAACCAGUAAGAAUCCCCAGGCAAGCCAUGAACAGAGCCACGAACGAGCAUGGUGUUCGUGAUUGCUAAUCCAUCAUUUUGGGGUGGGGAUAAGGAGCCAAAGGGGCCAGCCCCAGUCUCGGAGGCUGAAAGUGAACCAGGAAGAGAGCCGGAGCUCCCGCCUGAAGGCAUCCCCUUUCGGCACAAGAGAGAGAGAAAGCGGAUCUGCUGACGGCGAGAGUUGAGGCUUUGCCCCUAAGGCAAAGCUCCUUAGGGAAGCUGUGAGAGGUCCGGAAGAGCUCCCGGACGGAAGGGAAAGAAGGAGCGUCACCGCCCAGAUCCACGUGACAUCGCGGCUGAGGGGACCAGCUGGAGUUAGGGGUACGACCUGCGAGAGAGAUCACAAGUAGGCAGAGAGGCAGGCAGAGAGAGGGGGAUACAGGCUCCCCACCGGGCAGAGAGCUCCAGGA